UAAAAAUAUUUAAUUUUAUGUAUAUGAGCACACUGUAGCUGUCUUCAGACACACCAUAAGUGGGCAUCAGAUCCCAUUACAGAUGGUUGUGAGCCACCAUGUGUUGCUGGGAAUUGAACUCAGGACCUUGGGAAAAGCAGUCAGUGCUCUUAACCGCUGAACUAACUCUCUAGUCAAGCCUGGAAUUUUCUACAUAGACUGGGCUGGCCUCAAACUUGUAGAGAUCGGCUAGCCUCUACCUCAAUAGUGCUAGGAUUUCGGGCAUGCAAGACCACACCACGCUUAUCAAGUCCAGUUCCUUUUCCAUCACUUCUAAAUCCAACUUUCCUGAUAAGCAGGGAUCGAAGCUUUUGCCUUAAUUUGGUUAAUUGUUCUCAUUAUGAUACUCCUUAAAGGAAGCCUCGUUACUUAGGAAUGGUUUAACCAAGCCGAAGGCAGCCUUUUCCCUGUUCCAGGAGCUGUGUUUCCAUGAAUCCAACCUAGAGUGAUUCUUGUUCCAAAGCCCUCUGAGGAGAGACAGCGGCCAACUCCUCAGGACCUUCCCAGCCUCCAGCUCAGGUGGUUGUGUUUACAUUUCUUUUGUGGCUCUGUCAGAACACGCCCACAUGCUUCUCUUCUGCAUGACCUUGAUCCUCUUUCUCUGCACUGUACUGCGGAUCCGAACUGCACACAAGCUACAUUUAUUUUUCUCUCACCUUUCAUUACCUCCCCUCUUCCCGCUCUCCCUUCCUGACACCUCCCUGGUCCACCAUGGGAGUAUCCACGCUGUUUCCCAGGCAGCUUCCUUCCUUUUAUCAAGUAGUAGACAUGUUCCAACGCAUCGCUGUGCCACUGCCCAAAUGUGUCUCUCCUGGUUGGUUAGCACUUUAGAAUGCAUGCGCUGACAGUGGGACUCUGGUUUCCAAGACACUAAUCUGAUUUGGGAACGCUUCCUCUAAGCAGAUCUCAGAUUUCACUUCCUUGAAGUUCCAAAGCAAAGAACCUCUCCUAGGAGCUGCUCACACAGACAACAUUCUCCAUGAAAAAAGUGAAUAGUCACCGUUCCUUCCUCACACAGUUAAAAGAGGAUCAGCUUGGGUGACAGGCGGCAGCUGGAAACGGCCUGUAUUCAAAUCCUAGAACUAUUGUUCUCAGCCUGGGUGUUCCGGGUCUAGCGAUCCAAUGCUAGAAUGGUGGCAGCAACUGUGGCCAACUCUGGGACCUACUGUGAGGAGUUAAAUCACUCAGAGCAUUUAGAACAAGGUCUAGCCCUCGAAUAGUUAAAAACAGCUAUUGUUAUUAUUAUUAUUAUCCCCAGAGUUGUAAAAGGUCCUUCUUGUGUCUUUGCAAACCUUGGUGUGGAGGUGCCUUUAUAAGGAAGCGGACUUUCAGACAGAGGCUCAGGGUCAUUUGUGAAUGAAUGCCCUCAAUCUGGGUUAUUUAAGAGGAAGACUAAAGGCCAGAAAACCUGCAAUCUACCAGAGCUGAGCCCCAGACUUAGAGCUUCCUUUCCUGCGGACUGGAAAACAAGAAAGCAGAGACAACAAUCAACAAACCCAUUUCAGACAGAAAUAAGCCUAGGUGGCUCCUAGCUGGACUUGACAAAAGGGGCUAAAAAGUUACAGUCUCCAGAUUUAAAAAAAGCAAGAAAACACCACCUCUCCUGUCCCUUCAAAACUUUUAUUUCUUGGUCAUAGAGCUGUUUAGUAUGAAAUUCUAGAAAAUAUCAAGGGUCCCACAGACCCUUUUUUGUCACGCUGCAUGGUUCACGGGUAGACUACACUAACAUAUAAGAAAUUAGUUUAAGUUGUGUCAAAUCACCUUAAAACACAUUAAGUAAAUGGGAAGCGACAGAACAAAGAAAGUGAUUAAGCUGGUUUAACCGCAUUCAAGCACACUGUGCUUAAUCCCCUUCAGGGGUUCACGUUAAACAACAAAUUCGGUUUCUUGGCCUAAAUCUUUUUUCUUAAAAGAACACUUUCUUGCAAGUGUAAUGUCUGCUUAUGGUCUUUUCAGUCCCCGGGAAAGAAAAGAAUUUACCUGAUUGGGUUGCAAUUUUAGGACAAUAUCGACUAGAAAACAGAAACAGAGGGCGAUGGGUUAUACAAUUCUUGGAACUACUGAGGCAUGGAAAGUGUGUGAUUGUUCAGCCCCAGAAAAAAGCCAGUUAGUGACACCCGGGUUGAGGACUUCAUCCAGCAGCGAAUUAAAUAAGGCUGCGAGAGAAAGAAUAAGGUGUAAUUAAGCCGGUGUUGUUCGUGCCUGCUUACGGGGCCUGGCAGUAAUUUGGUUGAACACCCUUCAUCUUGAGAAAUUUGGCAGUAAGCUGGCACGAACCCAGCCCAAUAUUGCAAAAUCUGGGAAAUGUCGAAAUGUGGCUGGCUCACUAAACUUUUCCGGGGUCUUUCGAAUCAUUUCUUUUUUUCCUUCCUCUCGGAUUCAGAGAGCAGCGUGCCUCUUCAGAGAAGUCCACGAGUUUUUCUUUUUAAAGCACAAAGUCAAGGAAGCGUAGUCGUAAGGGCUGCCAUCAACUUUCCUGACUUCGACCUUUGUGUGCACACAGGGGGCGGGGGAGAAAAAGGGUUGCGACUGCAAAAGCAGAGUUCCCGCGGUUGGUAGCCCUUUAAAAAAAAACCCCAACAACCAGUACUCCGGUUUCCGGAGUGAGAGCCAGGCGCGCCACCCUUCGCCCCAGCCCACUCCCUGUUCUUUUUAAAAGUCCAGAGAGGUCGCCAGGCUAAAUGACAUGUGGCCAACUCUGGCUGCCUGGGCCCAAGUUGCUCCAACAAGCUUCUCGAAAGUGGCUGCAAGUUCUCUGCCGGGGAAAGCGGCCAGUUCUAGAAAGUCCCGGGUCCGGUUCCCACGGAAGCGGCGCCCCCGACGCCUCCGUCGAGGCUGCGGCGAGCGGCAGGGGGCAGCAGCGGGAACCCGUUGUUCUGGAGGCGGGGUGGGGCGGGAAGCGCCCCCCACCUCGGCUUCCGCGCCCUCCCCUCCCCCCUCGCGUCCCUCCCCUGAGCAGAGAGGAGGGCGGGGACGCCGAGCCCUCCCCCGGGAAGGAGGGGGCCUGCUCGGCGCGCACCCCUCCCCCCCGGCCGGUUCUCCUGGCGCCCCGAGGCGGGAGUUUCCAGGAAGAGCUCAGAGCGCGGCCGCACCACCGGGCGCACGGACACGUUAAGUAGUUCCUCCGCGCGGCCUCAUUUGGAGGGCGCUCUCCCACCGUCAGGGCCGGCCCGGGUCGGAACCCGGAAGAGAUAGGGAGUGGUAGCUUGGCCGCGGGGACUUCAGGGCCGAGAGGUCUUAGAGGCCACUUUCGGUCCCUGGGGGAUGUGAGGGGGCGGCACAACGAGUUCCGGCCUAGGGCUCGGGCGCGCCCGGUGGAGUGAAGCGCCGCGCGCUCGAAGCGCUCACAGAGUUAAAGUGGGCGGGAAAACCCGGAGCGGACUCUUCGGGAGCACGCCCAGGCCCUCCCGCCCCGCUCUUCGUGGGGGAGGGGAAGGAGACGCCAGGAGUCCCGGUCCUGGGCUCCCGAACCCCCACACAGGAGAAACAGGUGUCCGCCCGUCCCCUCUAAGGGCCCCCCGCAGGCCUCGGGGGGCCGGGUGUCGCAGGGAGGGCGGGGCGGCUCCUCCUCUCCCAGCGUGCGCACCGUCGGUGCUCGCUGCGCUGGGGCAGCGAACCUCCGGAGCCAGCGGGCAGGAGGAGCGCGGCGCGCAUGCGUGCGGUGGGAGCGCGCGUCCCGCCCCUUUCCUGAGCGAGUUCGCUCUUCCCCUCCCCCCCGCGUUCCUCAGCCGCCACCUCAAAGUCUUCCCCCGCAGCCCGCGCGCUCUGCUCGGGGGAGGCGGCCGGUCUCGCCCGUCCACUGACUAACCCCUUCACCCCAGUUUCGCCCCGCCUCUGCCGAGCUCCGGUACAAACUCCGCAGCCAAGGGCUCGCCUUUCGCAUUCCCGCCUCCGCCCUCCCUCUCCCUCCCAACCCUAGAGCACUUCCUGCAAACUGCCGGGCUGCUCGGCUGCUUUCCGUUUGCGGGCGCGGCACCACCCUGUACCCUAGCUCCCUCUGCCUAGCCUGCUCCAUUUUACAGAUGGGGAACUCAAGGUCGACCCCUGGAGUUUUUUUUCCAAAAUGAAGCACGGGAACUGCCAUACUGGAAGGGCAAACCUCGACUUUCCACAAUUUAAGCUACUUCAGCUUCAGUCUUAAGCCUCCCGGGACCCUGCUGUCCCUCUGGUCUAAGGCAGCCCAGUUGGCCUGUGCCAGUGAAGCCGUUGACCCCAGGUCAUGAGAAAGACUUCUAAUAGAGGGGAGGCGAGAUAUUUGGCAAAUAUUUGUAUUUGCUUUUUUGUGACAGUCUUAGCCCAGGCUGGCCUGGAAUUCUACCUCAGGAUGACCUUGAAUUCCUGAUCCGGCCUCCAAGUGCUGGGAAUCCAAAUACAGGGAGGGCCUCAAGCUUGCAACCAACUGAGCUACACCCCUGCCUUUAGUCAUUUAUUUAUUUAUUUAUUUAUUUUUGGAGCUGGGGACCAAACCCAGGGCCUUGCGCUUCCUAGAUAAGCGCUCUAUCACUGAGCUAAAUCCCCAGCCCCAUUUAGUCAUUUAAAAACACAAUCUGUAUUAUUUUCCCUUAAAUUUUAUACUUUAGUUAUUCUAGAGACCAGUCUUUUGAGUUUUGAAAACACUUUUCCCCCCUCCCCUGAAAACACUUUUAAAGAAUGUACUCCUUCAAUAACAUAAAUCACACCAUUUGGGAGAGGUAAAGACUCCAGAUGUGGCUUAGGCUAGCCUUGAACCCUCGAUCCUACUGCCUCAGCCUCCACAUCUGGCUCUAUUUUAUCUUAAGAGAUAACUUUUCUAUUAGUACUGUUGGACUUAUUUUCCGGGGCACUCCCAGGUCCCUAAUGUCAGUUCUUCCUUGGGCUUCAGGCUCUAAUUAUAGUUAGCUCAUGUCCGUAAGAGACUUGCAAGAGAACUGAUGAAGCCAAGAGAAUCCUCUGUGUGUGUGUGUGUGUGUGUGUGUGUGUGUGUGUGUGUUUGCAUGGGUUAGAGGACAACUUGCAGGAAUCUGUCUACCGUGUGGGCUCGUGGGAACUGAUCUCUGGUUAUCAGCUCUUUCCCUGUUGAGCCAUCUGUGUGCCCCAUACCAGAAAUGUAAGGGAACAACAGAAGACUUAGGUUGUAGUCUCCAUAUUUUGUGAUUCCUUACUUCAGACUUAACUGUUUUGAGGGUUUCAUUGUAAACCUUGUAAAUAUGGAGUUGGUUUUGUUCAUUAUCGAUUUGCUUUGUCUUUUCCUCCCCUCUUGACAGGGCUGCUCUGUGUACCCCUGGCUGUCCUGGAACUCUUAAAAACAUCUACCAGCCUCUGUCUCCCUAGUGUUGAGAUUAAAGGCAUGCACCACCAUAUUUUCUUGAGACGGGGUCUCCCACUGAACCUAAAGUUUGCCAAUUCAGCUAGAUCGGCUGGUCAGGCAAGCCUCCAGAAUCUUCCUGUCUCUGCUUCCGUGUUGGAAUUACAAAAAAAAAAAAAAACAAAGUCAAAUUCACGACUGAGCUCCUACUGCAGGCCCUGGGCGCUGGAAUUCCCGGUGUAGACUUGCAUGCUUAGCUAAGAAAAUCAAACUACUUUUUAGCCAAUUUAGAAAAUGGUAUACAUUUUUUUUUUUUUUCUGGAGCAAAGGUCUCGCUCUAACUGGGACUAACUUAGUCCCUUUUAAGUAGCUAUGGACCUAAGGCUAACCUUUAACUUAUAGCAUUCGCCUGCCUCACCUUCCUCACUACUGACACCACCCUGCUCACCACCCUGCUUGGGAUGUCCUGAUUCUGCAGGGUUCUGAAGAUUCCCCUGGGCUUCUGCUUGGCCUUCAGGGUCUGCUGUUGGACCCUAGUCUGCAAGCCGAUCCUCCGAGCGUCUGGGCUGAAGAUAGUAUAAACCAGGUUUUCAGCUCAAACCUAUUUCAUUUCUAACAUUUAAAUUCAGAAGUUAAAUCGGAAGAAUGUCAAGAGCGUUGUCUUUCUUAAGUAAAAUGAAAAAAUUACAUAUGGAAAAUAUAUUACUUCUUCUUGAAUCCAGGGAUAAUUUCCAGAACUCUCGUGUGUUAUUGCAUCGACACUCAACCUACAGCAGUGUCUUGGAGAAGUUAGAGUCGUUUUGCUGUCGUUUAUGCCGCUCACUGAAUGGGCACUAUGUGACUCUUGAGGGGAAUCACAUUAUAAGACCAAAGAGGCUUCUGUCUGCAGUUUCACCGCUUUAGAGACUGAAGCAGGAGUAUUGUCAGGAGGCCAAACUUAGCCCGAGCUACACCGUAAACUUCAGGCCAGCCUGGGCUAAAGAGUGAAGCUCCCAAAAGAAAAGGUAUGCACAAGAAGGGGCAGUGAGAUGGCAUCUUUCUGCCAAAUCUGAAAACUGGAGUUGGAUCCCUGGACCCCACAUGGUGGUAGGAGGGAACCAACUCUUGCAAGUUGUCGUCCAACCUCCGCAUGUGUACACACUCACACUAUAUACACAGACACACACAGUGAGAGAAUUAGGACUCAGUUGACACAGCUUUACCACCCAAGCAGGUGGAGCCGAUGUAAAUUCCCCAAACCAGAAUGGAGCAAACACUUGUAAUCUCUUACCAGGAGGCAGCGUAGUCUCAGGUCACCGUGAGCCUAGGUCAGAGUGAGAGACUGUCUCAAAAACAAGAUGGAUGGCUUUGGGAGAACUACGCCUGAGAUUGGCCUCUGCUUUCCACAGGAGUGCACACACACGCACCCAUACACAUAUGAAAAUGCCCAUAGCUGUCCAUACAAAAAUUAAGUUGACAGGAAGAGUAACAUGACAGGCUGUCAGCCUCUCAGGUCAGACUGGGAUCCAGGCCCUAUCAUCAGCCUCUGUCUUAGAGCAGAUCAGUAUUGUAGAUUUUGUGUCCAAGCUGGCUGCUGUAUUUACUCACUAAGUUAUCUAGCUUCUGGGUAUUGAACUCAAGGGUCCAUGUGUGCUAGGCAAAUACUCGUUCCUCCUGUUAUAUUCCCAAGUACAUAGAGUGUACUGUGUGCCCCCUUCAUCAUCCCCCCGCCCCCGCCUCGCUCUCUGAGACAAAAAUCUUACUGUGUAACCCAAGCUUCUGGUCUCAAACUUCAUAUCCUUCUACCUAAGAUGUCCAAAUGUUAUGAUACGUGCACACAACCCAACACUCAGCUACGAAGUCUGGAUUCCUCUCCUCUCCUUCCCACCUCCUUUUUUAACAGGGUCUCUCUCACUCUGUUGUUCAGAAGAACUAGAAUUCGCCACGUCCCUGCCUGAUCUUGGAUCUGUGGCAAAUGUCCCAGCUGCCCUACCAAGUCUUAUGAUCACAGAUUGUCUUAUAACCCAGCCUGGUCUAGAAGUCACUGAGGAGCUGAGACCGUCCCUGAACUCCCUGAUGGUUCUCCUUCCCCUUCCCUCGCACGUGUAAAAGUUGAGAUUUUGGAAACUUUACAUUCGUUCAAGAUCACCCAGCAGCUAUUGGAGGAGCCAGGGCAAACCCCAGCUCCCAGACAUCAGUCACGACAGCAACCGAACCCAUCACUGUUUGCAUUUGGAUGGCAAAGGUUGAACCACCCUGAAACUUCUCUUUUCAGUUUGUUUUUAGUUCCCUAGAGCUGGUUCCUUCUAGCAGAAACCCAGAGUGCUGUAACCAAACGUUUCUUGUUUCUUUCAGUUCCCCCACGUGGACUAGGCAGCGAAGGGUUUGAAGUCUGUGAGCCCUGCAGUCGGGAUGCCCCUUUCCUCUCCUAGGUUCACCCAUGCGUCACUAUCAACCUUUUCCUACUUAUGGUUGGCGGCUUUUUGGUACUGUUUGCCUUCUUUCACAGAGGGAUGCAUUUAAUCAGAUACCACCCCAACCUUGUCCUUUGACCUUUUUUUUUUUUUUUCCGGAGCUGGGGACCGAACCCAGGGCCUUGCGCUUGCUAGGCAAACGCUCUACCACUGAGCUAAAUCCCCAACCCCCACAACAUUUUUUUAAAGAUUCGUUUAUUAUGUAUACAGCAUUCUGUCUGCAUGUAUGCCUGCAACCCAGAAGAAGGCAGAUGGUUGUGAGCCACCAUGUGCUUAUUGGGAAUUGAACUCAGGACCUCUGAAAGAGCAGUCAGUGCUCUUAACCUCUGAGCCAUCUCUCCAGCCUCUCCACACAAUUUUUUAAAUAAGAAAAAAAAAAGAAAAAGAAAAAGAAAAAGCAUCUCUAUUUAGUUGAGUGUUAGGGCACCUGCUUCUAAUCCCAGCACUCAGGAGAAAGAAGCAUCUUUAUGAGCUUUAAGGGCCAGCCUAGUCUACAUAGUGAGCUCCAGGCUACCCAGGACUUCAAAAAAAAUAAACACAUAUGUUUAUCCUCUA